rnacentral:pre_miRNA from 1 species
UCUUAUGAAUGAGCAAAGAAAUGGUUUUUUAGGAUGGAAUCCACUCCUGGUGAAGAUGCUGUGAA